ensembl:lncRNA
AGAAGAAGAAGCACCAGCAGGGGCUUGGAGGGCACCACUAGAUAAUGCUCCGCACCCUGUACACGGCAGAUGGGAAAGAUCCAGGGUGGCACCACACCCGUUUCCACAGGGUCAUCCCAACCAUUAGACCGCCAACAUCAGUCUUCAAACACCCUCCCAGCGCACUCAAUGCACACCCUCAAUGGACACCCCACCCCAGCUGGAAUCGUGCCUUUCAACAUCUAGUCAAAGGAAUGGGAAAAGUUCUCUGUGGACGGUUGCCACGCUACACCAGCACCUAACCCCACCUCCCCCGCCAACCCGCCGCUUUCCUCCAGUCGAUAUCUGCCCACAGCAGGUGCCGCGCACCAAAGAUAGCGGCGAUAUUGUAAAGGGAAGUAUUGGAAACCCUUAUUUAUACUCUGCUCACAUAACUGUCAUUCAUCUUUUUCUGGGCAAAGCCCAUCGACACAACUUAUUAUCAGC